GGCUCGUUGGUUAGGGGUUGACUCUUGCAUCGGGUGCGAGACGGGUUCAAAUCCCGGACGAGCCC